UAGGGAGGUGGAGAAAGUGAGUGUUGUGUGACAGACCUAUUCCAGGGGAGACCCAACAUACUUGUCCAUUCAGCCCAGAGAGGGAACUUGGGGCAGACCAAAAUACUGAUAUCACCAACAUCCACCUUGGUGAACCAAUGAGUUUUUUAAGAAGUUGUUUACAGGAAUAUGAUAAGGAGUUACUGAUGGGAGCAGAAAUAGCCUCAAAGACAGCUUGGUCGACAAGGUUUACCCCCUGCAUGGGUGACAGUUCACAAAAGCUCAGAACCUGGAUUGCACUGACAGCCUGCAGGCAGCUUAACAGGUUUCAGCAUGUUCUUUCCAAGUGACUAAUCUGGACUGCUUCUCUCAGGCAGGCCAGCUGGUUUCUACUGCUUACAGACUUCUGGACUAGUCUCAAGUCUUCUCUGAAGCAUGGGUCUCUUAGAGAGGGGGAGCCUCUGAGGGGAACUCUCCAUUGUUUUCUCCAGCCCUUGGACCUUAGUGAAUCUGGUCAGUUUCAGGGACUUCCUGAAACUCUUGAGUUGUGUGCUUACAUUCCUGCUUAAAGAGCUUUCCUGGAGGAUGGAACAUUUGAAUCUAGGAUGAAACUUAAGACAAAAAUGGGUAUGAAGGCAAGACUGCAACAGGGAUGGGGCUACCCACCAUCUAUCAGGCUAGACUCUGUGUACUUAAGUGACAGCCCAAGGAGCACAUUCUGUCUACGCACAUGCAGCUUACUAGGAAAGUGUCUCCAGCAGAGUGUUCCUCCACAAAGCCUCUUGGUGGAAGGGAGUCUGAGCUGAGCCAGGUCAGAAUUACAUUUUAAUUAAAGAAGAGAAAUGUAGCAUUGUUUAUAAGUUCUCUCUCAUUCAUCCAGGUAGGUUUGGGCUGUUAAGUGUGAGGAACGAUAAUGCAUUCUCCCCCCCACCCCCACCCCCCCACCCCCAUAAGUAAUCUUAGCUGGUGUUUGGGAGGGUUGUUCUGGUUCCUUCUGAGUCUCCGUGGCAUCACCUGAGCAGCUCUGUACUUGGCUCUGUGGUGGUCCCUGUGUGUCUGUAUGGGAUGCUGUUGCAGAUGUUGAGAUGAAGCCCAGCUCCCCGGUUUAUCUGGGCCUUCUGCGUACUUAGCUCAGGAAACUGUGUCAUAAGAAAUGCAGUGCUGGGGCCUGGAGAGAUGAUUCAGCAGUUAAGAGCACUGACUGCUCUUCCGAAGGUCCUGAGUUCAAAUCCCGGCAACCACAUGGUGGCUCAUAACCAUCUGUAAUGGAUCUGACACCCUCUUCUGGUGCGUCUGAAGACAGCUACAGCGUACUGACAUAUAAUAAAUAAAUCUUAGGGGCUGAGUGAGUGGGGGCAGGAGUGGGGCUGGAUGAGCAGAGGUCGUGAGUUCAAUUCCCAGCAGCCACAUGAUGCCUCAGAACCAUCUCUACAGCUACAGUGUACUCAUGCAUAAGAUAAAUAAAUCUUU
rnacentral:lncRNA from 1 species